CAACCUGAACUCAGUCGUGAUUACCCGCUGAACUUAAGCAUAUCAUUUAGCGGAGGAAAAGAAACUAAAAAGGAUUCCCCUAGUAACGGCGAGUGAAACGGGAAGAGCCCAGCGCCGAAUCGAUCAGUCUUUGGCUGCUUCGAAAUGUGGCGUAUAGGUGUAGUCUUCCAGCAGUGUCGUAUGUCCGAAGUCCUUGCGAUUGAGGCCAUAAACCAGAGAGGGUGCGAGCCCCGUUCUGGAUAGCGGCGCUGUUGGUUCGACUGCUCCUUGGAGUCGGGUUGCUUGAAAGUGCAGCCUAAAGUGGGUGAUAAACUUCAUCUAAGGCUAAAUAUUGACUCGAUUGCGAUAGCGAACAAGUAUCGUGAGGGAAAGUUGCAAAGGACUUUGAAGAGAGAGUUCAAGAGAACGUGAAAUCGCUGGAGUGGAACCGGAGACAGUUGAUGUUGCUUGGAGACAAUCUUGGUGGCUGAUCGCUUAGCUGUGAUCGCCGCCGGGAGUCGUUUCCUAUGCUACGCCGACGGCGUUGGCCGCUCGUUCUGGCCCGACAGUGUUGCCCAUCUCGCAAGAGACGGUGUCUUGUGUCGGUCGUUGGGUUCGUGGUGGCUAGCGUUUAGUUACGCUAGUGUGUGUGACGUCGUGUGAAAGUCGACGACGUUU
rnacentral:ncRNA from 1 species